UGCAGCCGCAUCAGCCAGUAGCAGCAAUACAGAGACAUAUGCGGGAUUAUAGAGCUAAACCCGGCCAGCAGCCACAGAGAAGAUUGCAAUUGCAUCUGAGGCUUUUAUUUAAUGCACCGCACCCAAGAAGAAGCCAGGAUCGCGUUCCCGUUUCGGAAUUAUUAUUUAUUACUGUGCCAGAGGCCCCUUGAAUUUAAUGUAAUGUGAACAUCUACAGCAAUGUGGUUAUUUUCCUGCAGAUGAGCUGCCGUUUUGUCCUCUCCCCCCCUCCUAUUCUCCUUUCAUCAUAAUUCAAGAUCAUCUUCAAUUCACUGGACUCUCCUAGACCUGUAUAUGAAGACGGAGUGGGGACCGUAAUGACCGCACGCUUCCGGUUGCCUGCUGGCAGAUCUUACGAUGUGGGAGCGUUGGAGGAGGCCAGAGAGAGACAGCACGCGCAGGUGGUGUGUAACGUUUUACUGCUGGACAACACAGUACAGACCUUCAGAGCCAAUAAGCAAGAUCAGGGGCGGAUCUUGUUGGACGUAGUGUAUAAACACUUGGAGCUGACAGAGCGAGACUAUUUUGGCCUUCAACUUGCA